rnacentral:rRNA from 1 species
AUACGUGGCCAAACGUCCUUGCCAAAGCCUGAUCUCAUCAAAUCUCAGAAGAUAAGCAGGGCCUGGUUAGUUAGUUACUUGGAUGGGAGAUCGCUGGGAAUACCAGGUCCCAACGUGAG